rnacentral:rRNA from 1 species
GAUCCUGGCUCAGGAUGAACGCUGGCGGCAUGCCUAAUACAUGCAAGUCGAACGAAGCUGAUUGGAAGCUUGCUUCUGAAAGGCUUAGUGGCGAACGGGUGAGUAACACGUAGGGAACCUGCCCAGAUCACGGGGAUAACGGUUGGAAACGACAGCUAAGACCGGAUAGGUGAUGACGAGGCAUCUUGUCAUCAUGAAAAGAGCUACGGCUCUGGAGCUGGAUGG